rnacentral:rRNA from 1 species
UCGUUAACGAACGAGACCUCGACCUGCUAAAUAGUUCGACCAAGGAUUCGUUCUUGGUUGUUGACUUCUUAGAGGGACUAUCGGUGUGUAGCCGACGGAAGUUCGAGGCAAUAACAGGUCUGUGAUGCCCUUCGAUGUUCUGGGCCGCACGCGCGCUACACUGAUGCAGGCAUCGAGCAUUUUUUCCUUGACUGAGAGGUCUGGGUAAUCUUCGCAAACUGCAUCGUGAUGGGGCUAGAUUAUUGUAAUUAUUAAUCUUCAACGAGGAAUUCCUAGUAAACGCAAGUCAUCAACUUGCAUUGAUUACGUCCCUGCCCUUUGUACACACCGCCCGUCGCUAAUACCGAUUGAAUGGAUA